rnacentral:sRNA from 1 species
CAGAUGCAUAGCAUGUAGCAUGCCCGCCGGCCAAGUAACUGGUUUUCUCUUCUUCGCCGGUGGAGGUGAGUGGAUAGUGGUGGAGGGCUCAAGAAGGGAUUCAAGUAAAAUAAAAGGUCGGAAGGGAGAGAGGCAGGGAUGAGUAUCGAGUGGAGAAUAAUGGAAGGUGGAGAAUAGCAGAGGUGGAUAUAGUGGAGGGCGGAGGAUAGUGGAGGGCAGUGAGGCAGAGUUGAAAGAUGAGCAGAGGAAGACACGCAGCAUGGAUGGUGGUUGAUGAGACGGGCGACGUCGCUUGCUGACGACGCCUUCAUUCAAAAGGGCAAGAUGGUGAUGCUUCUCUGCGCCGAUUUUCGUAUAUCAAAGAGUUGCUAUUUAGACUGCAUAGAGUCUUGAAAGCAUCGCAGUACUUGCCCAGAGAUCUGUUGUGGUUCAACUGUUCUACUUGCUGUAUGUGAUGAUUCAAGGUUGUUGUCGUUGCGCGUCCGCCAAUGGCGGGAUGGUAGCCAGAAAAGAAGACAUGUAUGUGCUUAAUUGACAUAUUUCUUGUUGGGAUCUAACAACAAUUUACUUGGUGAUAGUCAUGAAGCACUACUUGUGGCAUGCAUACAAAUGAAGCUG